AUUGAACGCUGGCGGCAUGCUUUACACAUGCAGGUCGAACGGUAACAGGCCGCAAGGUGCUGACGAGUGGCGAACGGGUGAGUAAUGCAUCGGAACGUGCCCAGUCGUGGGGGAUAACGCAGCGAAAGCUGCGCUAAUACCGCAUACGAUCUAUGGAUGAAAGCGGGGGACCGUAAGGCCUCGCGCGAUUGGAGCGGCCGAUGUCAGAUUAGGUAGUUGGUGGGGUAAAGGCUCACCAAGCCGACGAGCUGUAGCUGGUCUGAGAGGACGACCAGCCACACUGGGACUGAGACACGGCCCAGACUCCUACGGGAGGCAGCAGUGGGGAAUUUUGGACAAUGGGCGCAAGCCUGAUCCAGCAAUGCCGCGUGCAGGAAGAAGGCCUUCGGGUUGUAAACUGCUUUUGUACGGAACGAAACGGCUCUGGUUAAUACCUGGGGCUAAUGACGGUACCGUAAGAAUAAGCACCGGCUAACUACGUGCCAGCCGCCGCGGUAAUAC
rnacentral:rRNA from 1 species